rnacentral:rRNA from 1 species
AACGAACGCUGGCGGCGUGGAUAAGACAUGCAAGUCGAACGGGACAGACCGAGUAGCAAUAUUUGGAAUGUUCAAUGGCGAACGGGUGCGUAACACGUGGAUAACAUUCCGGAAAGCGGGGAAUAGCCCAGGGAAACUCGGAUUAAUACCGCAUGUGGCCGCAAGGCUAAAGACGGGGACCGCAAGGCCUGUCACUUUCCGAUUGGUCCGCGGCCUAUCAGCUAGUUGGCGGGGUAAUGGCCCACCAAGGCUACGACGGGUAGCUGGUCUUAGAGGACGACCAGCCACACUGGAACUGAGACACGGUCCAGACACCUACGGGUGGCAGCAGUCGAGAAUCUUUCACAAUGGGGGCAACCCUGAUGGAGCGACGCCGCGUGGAGGAUAAGGUCUUCGGAUUGUAAACUCCUGUCAUGCGAGAACAAGGUACUCAGGCUAAUAACCUGAUUGUUUGAUGGUACCGCAAGAGGAAGAGACGGCUAACUCUGUGCCAGCCGCCGCCGUAAAAC